CAGCGCCGCGGUAAUACGUAGGUCCCGAGCGUUGUCCGGAUUUAUUGGGCGUAAAGGGAGCGCAGGCGGUUUAGUAAGUCUGGAGUUAAAGGCAUUGGCUCAACCAAUGUAUGCUUUGGAAACUGUUUGACUUGAGUGCAGAAGGGGAGAGUGGAAUUCCAUGUGUAGCGGAGAAAUGCGUAGAUAUAUGGAGGAACACCGGUGGCGAAAGCGGCUCUCUGGUCUGUCACUGACGCUGAGGCUCGAAAGCGUGGGUAGCGAACAGGAUUAGAUACCCCCGUAGUCCCUGUCUCUUAUACAC
rnacentral:rRNA from 1 species